rnacentral:rRNA from 1 species
GACGUAGGGCGCGAGCGUUGUCCGGAUUUAUUGGGCGUAAAGAGCUCGUAGGCGGCUUGUUGCGUCAGCUGUGAAAACCCGCAGCUCAACUGUGGGCUUGCAGCUGAUACGGGCAGGCUUGAGUUCGGUAGGGGAGACUGGAAUUCCUGGUGUAGCGGUGAAAUGCGCAGAUAUCAGGAGGAACACCAGUGGCGAAGGCGGCUCACUGGCCCGAUACUGACGCUGAGACGCGAAAGCGUGGGGAGCGAACAGG